GGCGGAGUCACCUGCUCCUCUCUCAGCAGGAUGUCGAGCGCCACCGUGUCCCCGAGGUCCCCCUUUCUCCUGUUGGGAUAGAAAGGAUCCUCAGGCGUCUGCAGGCACGAGGGACUCGUCCAACUGGGAUUUGCUUCCAGCCCAUGGUGGUGGAAUUGCCUCUCUGUCCGUGUGCUGAGCUGCGGCUGCAGGGACUGUCAGGCCUUGUUGGCUCUGUUGCCUGGUGUCAUUUCCCUGCCUGAGCUGGCUGUGGGUCGGUGUGGGACGGCGAGGCCGGAGAGAGCGAGCGGAGGAGCCUCGGGCUGGAGAGGGGCAGGAGAAAGGCCCUGUGGGCAAAGGGACCUCCCCGUGUGCCCAGGGCCCUGCGGGGGACAGGAUGGACACUCUGGGGUCACCCUGAGGGGAUUUGGGGUUUGUUUAGGUUUUGAAUCCCUCCCAGUGGCCCGGGCCAGAGGGGUUGUGGUUGCCAGCUGCUCCCCGUGUCCGUGCUGAACCAGCAUCCCAGGGGGACAACAGGCGCCGGCGACACUUCCAAAGGAAGAUUUGUCUCUCUGUGGGAAGCCGGGAUUUCCAGGAGCCAGAGACGUUCCUGUCCAGCGUGGUUCACCUCCCGCCCUCCCCGAGCACGGCGCGGGCCACUGCAAGGAAGGAUUCCUUGUUGCCCGUGCCCAGCCGGUCCCAGCCCAGCUGGCCGUGCUCCCUGGGCCUGUUCGUGCAGAGGAGGGAGAGCUGCGCAGAUUUAUUAAGAGUGCAUUUCCUGGCAGUAUUUGUCUGCAGUCUUUCCCUCCUUUGACUCCCUGGCAGCGUCCGGUUUUCUUAUUUCCUCUUGUGUAGCUGUUUGCAUCCUAGGCAGGACCUGCCUCAUCUGGAAAUAAAGAUUAAAUAUUUUAA